UAUGUGAAUGCGCCAUGUGCAUGCUUGGUACCUGUGGAGGCCAGAAGCGAAUGUCAGGUCCCCUGGGACUGCAGUUACAGACACUUGUGAGCUGCCGUGUGAGCACUUAGGAUUGAACCCCAGCCCUCUGGAAGAGCAGCCAGUGCUCCCGCCCGACGCUGUGGUAGCCAGCAGCACAGCUGGCCGACGUGCCCAGGUGAGCGGAGAACAUCACGAUUGGCUCCGUGUGGACUGACCGGUUUGGCCUGGGAUCACGGACGUCUUCAAACCAGCCACGGUGCAGCUCUGCGCAGCUCAGAAGGUGUCCCGAAACCCCGAAUUGACCGUAACAGACCCUGCACCAUCCGGAAGACACUGUGGAGCUCUGCGCCAAGCACAAAGCGCUCGGCCGUUUUGCACUCUGAAGAAGGCGCUGCACGGCUCUGCCUGUGGGGUAGGGUGAGCCGAGACCGUUUUUCAAGUCAGGAACGGGAAGCUACAACUUUACUCAUUUUCAAGACUGCUUUGGCUGUGGAGGCCGCUGGGAUGGAUGGUCAGCUCUCACUGUCAACUUGGCCUAGAAUCGCCUAAGAAGAAAGUCUCCAGAAGGAAUGAUCUACGUUGGCCUGCAAAGCCAUCAUUUCCACCCAGCCUUGCAUGGAGCUGGCGGCCAGAGCCUCUUAGUGGGGCUAUAAAUAGCAGAUCAUCAACUCACCUCUUCUGAGCUCAUCACAGGCUCCGUUUACUGCGCCUCUUCCAGCGGCCUGCACGUCACCUGUCACUCAGAUUCCCCAGGUGACGCUUGGCCGAGAGAUGCGGGACAUGCUCUUGGUUUGGGAGGCAGGGUUUGGGUUCAGGGUGAAAGCAAGGGCAACGGCAGACUUUUGAAGAGCUUGACAUUUAAAACGUCAUAAUUAUAAUUUCAGGUCUGUGCGCUUC